rnacentral:tRNA from 1 species
GGCCCAUUAAGUAUAAUUAUUGUACAAUUGCCUUCCAAGCAGUAAGAUUAAGAUGCCUUAAAGUGGGU